UAAUUUAAGGGGAUCUGAUGGCC
rnacentral:piRNA from 1 species